GGUUUCAAAGUGUAGUGGUUAUCACAUCUUCUUUACACUCAGAAGGUCCUAGGUUCAACCCCUAGUGGAACCA
rnacentral:tRNA from 1 species